CUUUUUUAAAGGCAAAUUGCACUUCCUGAUUUGGCUUUGUUUUUCAUCAAUGCUCAAUAAGAACUACUAGCGGCCAUGACUGAAGCUUGCAGAACACAUUAUCCUGGGGGCCAACAUGUCCUUCUCUGGAGACAAGGAGAUCAUCAAUACCAUCUGGAGGGAUAUAGCUCUGUGGUUGAUGAGAAAGACCGAUGACCUGAGCAAAUCAUGUUGAGUUUGUGGGCUACCAUACUCUGCUACAGACCUGGGG
rnacentral:lncRNA from 1 species